rnacentral:rRNA from 1 species
UGGGGAAUAUUGCACAAUGGCGAAAGCCUGAUGCAGCGACGCCGCGUGAGGGAUGACGGCCUUCGGGUUGUAAACCUCUUUCAGCAGGGAAGAAGCGAAAGUGACGGUACCUGCAGAAGAAGCGCCGGCUAACUACGUGCCAGCAGCCGCGGUAAUACGUAGGGCGCAAGCGUUGUCCGGAAUUAUUGGGCGUAAAGAGCUCGUAGGCGGUUAGUCGCGUCUGCUGUGAAAACUCGAGGCUCAACCUCGGGCUUGCAGUGGGUACGGGCUGACUAGAGUGCGGUAGGGGUGACUGGAAUUCCUGGUGCAGCGGUGGAAUGCGCAGAUAUCAGGAGGAACACCGAUGGGCGAAGGCGAGGUCACUGGGCCGCAACUGACGCUGAGGAGCGAAAGCAUGGGGAGCGAACAGGAUUAGAUACCCUGGUAGUCCAUGCCGUAAAACGUUGGGCACUAGGUGUGGGGUCCAUUUCCCACGGAUUCCGUGCCGCAGCAAACGCAUUAAGUGCCCCGCCUGGGGAGUACGGCCGCAAGCUAAAACUCAAAUGAAUUG